rnacentral:rRNA from 1 species
AUACGAAGGGGGCAAGCGUUGUUCGGAAUAACUGGGCGUAAAGCGCACGUAGGCGGAAUGUUAAGUUAGAGGUGAAAUCCCAGGGCUCAACCCUGGAACGGCCUUUAAUACUGGCAAUCUAGAGACCGAGAGAGGUGAGUGGAAUUCCAAGUGUAGAGGUGAAAUUCGUAGAUAUUCGGAGGAACACCAGUGGCGAAGGCGGCUCACUGGCUCGGUACUGACGCUGAGGUGCGAAAGCGUGGGGAGCAAACAGGAUUAGAAACCCUAGUAGUCC